UACGGGGGGAGCAAGCGUUGUUCGGAUUUACUGGGCGUAAAGGGCGCGUAGGCGGCGUGGUAAGUCACUUGUGAAAUCUCUGAGCUUAACUCAGAACGGCCAAGUGAUACUGCUGUGCUAGAGUGCAGAAGGGGCAAUCGGAAUUCUUGGUGUAGCGGUGAAAUGCGUAGAUAUCAAGAGGAACACCUGAGGUGAAGACGGGUUGCUGGGCUGAUACUGACGCUGAGGCGCGAAAGCCAGGGGAGCGAACGGG
rnacentral:rRNA from 1 species